CGCUCUGGUGGCAUAGUAGUUAGAGCAUCUGCCUCAGAUGUGGGAGGUUGCUGGUUCAAACCCAGUCUGAGUCA